CACGUAGGGAGCAAGCGUUGUCCGGAUUCAUUGGGCGUAAAGAGCUCGUAGGCGGCUCGGUAAGUCGGGUGUGAAACCUCUGGGCUCAACCCAGAGACGCCACCCGAUACUGCCAUGGCUAGAGUCCAGCAGGGGAGCGUGGAAUUCCCGGUGUAGAGGUGAAAUUCGUAGAUAUUGGGAAGAACACCGGUGGCGAAGGCGGCUCACUGGCCAGUUUCUGACGCUGCAGCGCGAAAGCGUGGGGAUCAAACAGG
rnacentral:rRNA from 1 species